GUGAGGAAUUUUCCGCAAUGGGCGAAAGCCUGACGGAGCAAUGCCGCGUGAAGGAUGAAGGCCUAUGGGUUGUAAACUUCUUUUCUCAGAAAAGAAUUAUGACGGUAUCUGAGGAAUAAGCAUCGGCUAACUCUGUGCCAGCAGCCGCGGUAAGACAGAGGAUGCAAGCGUUAUCCGGAAUGAUUGGGCGUAAAGCGUCUGUAGGUUGUUUAAAAAGUAUUCUGUCAAAGAUUAGGGCUUAACCCUAGAUAGGCAGAAUAAACUUUUAAGGUAGAGAUUGGUAGAGGCAGAGGGAAUUCCCGGUGGAGCGGUGAAAUGCGUAGAUAUCGGGAGGAACACCAAAGGCGAAGGCACUCUGCUGGGCCAAUACUAACACUGAGAGACGAAAGCGAGGGGAGCAAAUGGGAUUAGAUACCCGAGUAGUCC
rnacentral:rRNA from 1 species